rnacentral:rRNA from 1 species
AUGGAUUUCUCUAUUCUGAAUUGGAAUGUCCGGGGUCUGAAUAGUCCAGCUAAGAGGAGAGCUGUGCAAAUUUUUGUGGUUGAAUUAAAGUGCAAUGUGGUUUGUUUACAAGAGACAAAGAUCAGUGACAUGUCUAGGAACCUGGUGCUGGAAUCUUUGGGGUCAAGAUUUGCUGACAAUUUUAUCAGUUUGCCUGCUAUUGGGUCUCGAGGAGGGAUCCUCAUUGCUUGCACCGAUGAUUUUGAGGUGUCUGAUAUUCCCUUGGCAGCGGGAGCUCAUUCGAUUUCAGGUACUAUCAGGGACAAAUCUGAUGGCAAUUGUUGGUCAAUCACAGGGGUCUACGGCCCACAGUUAGAGGCCGAUAAGAUGGAGUUCAUGUCUGAAUUGAGAAGGAUCCAGCAGCACAUGUUGUCGAGAUGGAUGGUGUUGGGGGAUUUCAACAUGAUCAGUAGGGCUGUUGACAAGAGCAACAAUAACUGCAAUCUGAGGAUGAUGGGCAGAUUUAGGGCACUCAUUGAGGAUUUGGAAUUAAUCGAUUUUCCCUUGCUGGGGAGAAGAUUUACUUGGUCAAACGAGCGUCAAAGCGUCACCCUGACCAGAAUUGACAGGGUUUUAGUCUCCGGCGAGUGGGAGGCUGCUUUCCCAUAA